GUUUAUACCAAAUCCAAUUAAGAACCACGCACUGCACCUGGCUGUUGCGUCAGCGGACUCCAGUUCUAAUCCAAAGCCCGGAGGCGCUUAGAAAACCUGAGCGCCAGGUAACAGGAACCUGUAAAUAAGAAACUGACAUUCUCCAAAGGGGAGGGAGCAAGGACUUAACGGGAAAUGUAGUUUUUAUUUUGGUAUUGAACUUCGGGGCCCCUUUUGCGCGUGCGUACUUCAGCUCCGUAGGUGCAAGUUGUCUUUCCCCAGGCUACAGCCUCGCUUGGGAGGAGGCUCCGGGGCGGUGGAGUCUCUGCGAUCAUCCGGGGCCAGUGCAGCCCAACAAGGGAGCGGACUCAAAGAAGUAAUUGUGAAAUAUGUGUGGACUGAAUCCUUACUUGGUCCUUGUAUUUUGGAGAUCCUUGAUUCGUCUGAGCCCUUGAGUCAGGCAGCACACUUGAGGUUUCUGGACGGGACCUGCCCUUUGCAGCCUUUGUCUUUGGAGGCCUUCAUUUGAGUUUAUAGAUGGCCCAGCCCUUGGUUCUUGGAGAAGGUCACCGCUUCCUUAGAACAGAGCAGCUCUUGAGGUAAGAAGGGAUAAUCCUCAGGAAACCCAUCUGGAAGAUCACCCCUCCAUCUCAGACCUCUCACCAGGGCCUCAGAACAGAGGCAGAAGAGGCCCAGGAAAGACUAUGCCAGAACUGCCUGGACAGAAGUAAUCCUUGGUCCUCCUACCCAGAAUGGGCAACACUGGGUGAUGUCACCACAUCCAGAAUUCCGGACUGUCUAGCGAUCAGCUUCAGAACUGAGGUGAGGCUGGCAGCACCGCCGAGGGCCCCUCACAGGAGGCUUUGUGAGGACACAGUCCAAGAAAAGGAGUCACCACCCGCAGAAGGGGACAUUGCCCCUUUGCCUGCCCUCAUCAGCCCCAGUCCCUUCGCUCUGCGCUUACUCUCCGCACAACCUAGAGAGAUGCUCCAUUACGCCUGCUGUUCUGAUGGCCUUAUAGGCAGCUGCUGUGUGAAGCUUGAUUGGCAGAUGAGUCUGAGAGCUGUGCAGCAGGCCCAGAAUCACAGGACCUCAUGGUCUUCCUUCUUCUCCAGCUGUACCUUUACAGUUCUCUUCAGUUUUCCAAGAGCAACAGGAAAUGAACAAGUCACCGAGCCUCCCUGUCAUUUUGAGACAACACUUUACUGGGAUUAUUAGGAGAAUUAGACCCAGGAGGAUGAUUAAGCUUCCCUGCAGGAUUUUCCCUCAUCCAGAAACCCCAGGUGCCUGGCUUAAACCAACUGAAGAUGUCAAAGGGGCAUGUUUGCCUUUGCCGGGUAUGGGGACACGGACAGCAGAAUGAAACCAGGUGUUUGUGUUCCUGGGAGGGUGCCAUGAGCCAUUUUGAGACAAGAAGGGACAGCUCUUCCCUACAGAAGAAUUCCAAUGAAUAAAUAUGGAAGGAAUGAAGAAAAUAGAAAUAUUACCACUAGAACACCAUCGGAAUCAUUGUUGCAGGAAAGAUCCUUUAAUGGAGGCUCAGAUUAGGUUUGAGGAGAACAGGAUAUAUGCAUAGACUCAAAGUAUCUUCUCCCCAAAAUAUUUAAUUACAGAUGGAAAGAUAGUAAGUUCACAGAAGAGAAAUCCUGCAGACACCACCUUAACCAAGUGAUCAACAUUAACGUCUGUGGUCGUAAGACAUUGUGAUACAUACUGAUACAAAAUUGGUAUUCUUGCCAGAAAUGCCUCAUCUCAACCUAAUCGUGAGAAAGCAUCAGAUAAAUCUAAGAGACUUUCUACAAAAUAACUGACCAGUGCUGUUUGGAAGUGUCAAGGUCAUGGAAGACAAGAAAAGACAGGAACUGUCACAGUUUGGAGUGUGGAAUCCUGGAUUCGAUCUUGGGACAGAAAAAGGAUAUUAAUGAAAAAAUUGGUAACAUCUGAAUAAAGGCUAUAGUUUGGUUAAUAGCAUACCAUUGUUAAUUUCUUAAUUUUGAUAUUUACACUUUGUUAAUUAAGAUCUUAACAUUAGGAGAAGCUGGGUGAAGGGUAUAU
rnacentral:lncRNA from 1 species